rnacentral:lncRNA from 1 species
AUUAAGAGGAAUAAUCUAAGCAACAAAAGGUGGAACAAAGGAACCUUCCCCUAACAAUGAUUGGAUGACAGAUCCUCAAACAAUUAAGAUCCCUCGGAUCUGGCAAGAAUCUUAAUAAAAAGUAAAGUCUUGUAUUGAGUGAAGAAUAAAUCUUUUGUCAAAGUGUUGUUCUUACAAGAAUGAAUUUCACGUGUCUUUCCUCUCUCUCUCUCUCUCUCUCUUCCUUUUAUUUAUAUGGGAUCUUUUCCCGAUAAACCCUAAUAGCACAAAUGUAAGGAAUAUUCACUAAAAUAUUCCCUUCCUGAUUCCAAUUUGAAAACUAGUCGUUACAGCUCUAUCGUUAGUGUUCGAUCACGGCCCUCCUCGACUCUUCGACCAUGAUCCUCGUUGAUUACUUGACCGUGACUCUCGACUUCUCGACCUUGACCUUGGCCAAUAUGACUUCACGACCGUCUUUAAGUGAUGAUUUGCGGGUCCUUCUCGCACUGUUAUUUUGAUCCGAAUAUCCUAAAGGCAAAUUUUGACUCAUAUAUUAUGGUAUUAUUGUCACUUUACCUUCUUGUUACUGUUACGAUUAUAAUCUUGCUGACGUCACAUGGACUCAAGCCCAAAUCAACCUCUAAAAAUAAAAAUGCAUAGACAUUUUCAAGCUUAAAAUGAACACCGCAAAAAGAAAAAAAAAAUCAAUAUCUGAUUUUGAUACCAAUUAAAUUCAGUUCAAGCCUUUAGGUCACAAAGAAUUAUGUUCCUACAAAUUAUUAACCAUAUAGUAGUUCAUAUCAUGAAAGCAGAAAAAUGAAGAAGAAAAAAGAGAGUUCCAUUUCUCGAACAAAAAGGAGGAACAAUUAAUUAAUGCAAUAAAAAUAAAUGUAAUAAAAUACCUAUAAAUCUUACAUUACAAGCACCAAAAUCAAUGUAUUGCGGACGAAAUUUGAAGCUGGAAACAUGAUUUUACUAAACAUUUGAAACAUGAUUUCACAAAAAUAAAAUUAGCAGAAUGUAAAAACACAAACCUGAUUCGUUGUGUUACGCUAAUGGCGCUUGACUGCUCGUAGAACCUAAGGCAGGAGGAGGGGUUUCAUAUUUGAGAAUUGAUAGGGAAUCAAAAUCCUGUUCAAAGUUAG